UACGUAGGGAGCAAGCGUUAUCCGGAUUUAUUGGGUGUAAAGGGUGCGUAGACGGGAAGGCAAGUUAGUUGUGAAAUCCCUCGGCUUAACUGAGGAACUGCAACUAAAACUAUCUUUCUUGAGUGCUGGAGAGGAAAGUGGAAUUCCUAGUGUAGCGGUGAAAUGCGUAGAUAUUAGGAGGAACACCAGUGGCGAAGGCGACUUUCUGGACAGUAACUGACGUUGAGGCACGAAAGUGUGGGGAGCAAACAGG
rnacentral:rRNA from 1 species